CAGGGGGAUAAGCGGAAGAAAUUCCGUCUAAUACCGCAUAAUACAAUUUGGAGACAUCUCCGGGUUGUCAAAGGAGUGAUCCGGCAGAGGAUGGACAUGCGGCGCAUUAGCUAGUCGGCGGGGUAACGGCCCACCGAGGCUACGAUGCGUAGGGGUUCUGAGAGGAAGGUCCCCCACACUGGUACUGAGACACGGACCAGACUCCUACGGGAGGCAGCAGUGAGGAAUAUUGGUCAAUGGGCGGAAGCCUGAACCAGCCAAGUCGCGUGAGGGAAGACGGUCCUAUGGAUUGUAAACCUCUUUUGCAGGGGAGCAAGGCGCGGUACGUGUACCGCGAAGGAGAGUACCCUGAGAAAAAGCAUCGGCUAACUCCGUGCCAGCAGCCGCGGUAAUACGGAGGAUGCGAGCGUUAUCCGGAUUUAUUGGGUUUAAAGGGUGCGCAGGCGGACUGUUAAGUCAGCGGUAAAAUGUCGGUGCUCAACACCGGCCGGCCGUUGAAACUGGCAGCCUUGAGUGAGCGAGAAGUAUGCGGAAUGCGUGGUGUAGCGGUGAAAUGCAUAGAUAUCACGCAGAACUCCGAUUGCGAAGGCAGCAUACCGGCGCUCAACUGACGCUCAGGCACGAAAGCGUGGGUAUCGAACAGGCUUAGAUACCCUGGUAGUCCACGCAGUAAACGAUGAAUGCUCACUGUCCGGGCCGUUUAAGGCCUGGGUGGUCAAG
rnacentral:rRNA from 1 species